CCUACGGGUGGCAGCAGUGGGGAAUAUUGGACAAUGGGGGGAACCCUGAUCCAGCCAUGCCGCGUGUGUGAAGAAGGCCCUCGGGUUGUAAAGCACUUUCAGUGAGGAAGAACGCCUGGUGGUUAAUACCCAUCAGGAAAGACAUCACUCACAGAAGAAGCACCGGCUAACUCCGUGCCAGCAGCCGCGGUAAUACGGAGGGUGCGAGCGUUAAUCGGAAUUACUGGGCGUAAAGCGCGCGUAGGUGGCUUGAUAAGCCGGUUGUGAAAGCCCCGGGCUCAACCUGGGAACGGCAUCCGGAACUGUCAAGCUAGAGUGCAGGAGAGGAAGGUAGAAUUCCCGGUGUAGCGGUGAAAUGCGUAGAGAUCGGGAGGAAUACCAGUGGCGAAGGCGGCCUUCUGGACUGACACUGACACUGAGGUGCGAAAGCGUGGGUAGCGAACAGGAUUAGAUACCCUUGUAGUC
rnacentral:rRNA from 1 species